rnacentral:rRNA from 1 species
UACAGAGGUCCCAAGCGUUGUUCGGAUUCACUGGGCGUAAAGGGUGCGUAGGCGGGUCUUUAAGUCAGGGGUGAAAUCCUGGAGCUCAACUCCAGAACUGCCUUUGAUACUGAGGAUCUUGAGUUCGGGAGAGGUGAGUGGAACUGCGAGUGUAGAGGUGAAAUUCGUAGAUAUUCGCAAGAACACCAGUGGCGAAGGCGGCUCACUGGCCCGAUACUGACGCUGAGGCACGAAAGCGUGGGGGAGCAAACAGGG